ensembl:lncRNA
CGCGGGAAGAGCCGGCGGAGCACACAGUCCACAGACCGCGGAGGCGUGAGGUGCAGCCGACGGGCCAGUCCGCUCGUAGGUCACCUGUCAGUCACGCCCUCUCUGUGACCUCCUCGCAUGCACUUGGACAGCGCCCUGGGUUCGCAGAGGCUGUCCGGGGCUCUGACGCGUGGAGAUCUUCGGAUCCUCAUGGAGACCCCAGCACCCCAGACAGGACAGGACACUGCCAUCCGUUCCAGCCCCAGCCUUCCCUUCAGGUCUCUCUCUGGUCACCCUCAUCCAGGCCCUGCAGCAGCUUGGGGUGGUGGCGUGAAAGACGGUCUCCAAAAGGGGCUUUCAUUCAGGCUCACCAAAGCUGGUCUUCAGAGUCCAUCAGGGACUGCCUGAGCAAUGGCUGAGUGAAGUGUUCAGCUGGCAUCUUGUUACCCUCAAGGGCUUGUCUCCUAGCAACCGUCUGGGCUCCUCCUCCUGCAGAUCCCUGACGCGCUGAUUCUUUUCCCGUAUAGAUCAUUACAGAAUAUUCAGUAGAGUUACCUGCACCAUACAUUCCCCACUUCUGGACGCAGGAAUCUGGUCGAAGGGCCCUCAGCCUGAGCUGAAGAUUGGAGAUUGAUUACCUUCUAUUGGCAGAGAACUCGAAUUCUGGUUCUGGUCUGGUCUGAUUUCUGGUAGGGCC